UAGGGAAUCUUCCACAAUGGACGAAAGUCUGAUGGAGCAACGCCGCGUGAGUGAAGAAGGCUUUCGGAUCGUAAAGCUCUGUUGUUGGUGAAGAAGGAUAGAGGCAGUAACUGGUCUUUAUUUGGCGGUAAUCAACCAGAAAGUCACGGCUAACUACGUGCUAG
rnacentral:rRNA from 1 species